UGCAAGUCGAACGGCAGCACAGGAGAGCUUGCUCUCUGGGUGGCGAGUGGCGGACGGGUGAGGAAUACAUCGGAAUCUACUCUGUCGUGGGGGAUAACGUAGGGAAACUUACGCUAAUACCGCAUACGACCUACGGGUGAAAGCAGGGGACCUUCGGGCCUUGCGCGAUUGAAUGAGCCGAUGUCGGAUUAGCUAGUUGGCGGGGUAAAGGCCCACCAAGGCGACGAUCCGUAGCUGGUCUGAGAGGAUGAUCAGCCACACUGGAACUGAGACACGGUCCAGACUCCUACGGGAGGCAGCAGUGGGGAAUAUUGGACAAUGGGCGCAAGCCUGAUCCAGCCAUACCGCGUGGGUGAAGAAGGCCUUCGGGUUGUAAAGCCCUUUUGUUGGGAAAGAAAUCCAGCUGGCUAAUACCCGGUUGGGAUGACGGUACCCAAAGAAUAAGCACCGGCUAACUUCGUGCCAGCAGCCCGGUACAAUAAUAGCGAGCUGGAUUUCUCUCCCAACAAAAGGGCUUUACACC
rnacentral:rRNA from 1 species